rnacentral:misc_RNA from 1 species
UCAUUACUCCUCACUCCUUUCCCAUUUUUCUCCCACUUGCUCCUCUGAUAGCUAAUCUCCCUCGCUCCAUCUCUCCUUCUGUCGCUUUAUCUCUUUACCAUUACUGGUUGAUUCCUUUUUGGUAUCCUCAAAAAGGGUAGUUGCGUUUGAUACUUGCUUCUGCGUCAGCUAAACAACUAAAGAAGCACUUUCUCCCCCCAAAAUUACUGGGAGGUCAGUAUGGCAACUAAAGAAGCAACUAAUGGUGCUAGCGUUACUGUUUCUGCCGUUUCUUCUAAGAUUCCGGCAGCUGCGAACCCUUUGGCUGAAGAUGCUUUAAAGAUUGCAUCCAAUAUUAUUUACCAUGCACAAUACAGCCCUCAUUUCUCCCCUUCCAAGUUCGAGCCGGAGCAAGCUUUCUAUGCCACUGCUGAGAGUGUUCGUGAUCGGCUUGUACAACAAUGGAAUGAGACGUAUCUUCAUUAUCACAAAGUUGAUCCAAAGCAGACAUACUACUUAUCAAUGGAAUAUCUUCAAGGACGAGCUUUGACCAAUGCAAUUGGGAACCUGGACAUUCAAGGCGCAUAUGCUGAUGCUUUAAAUAAGCUGGGACAUGAACUUGAGGAAAUCGUUGAGCAGGAGAAAGAUGCAGCACUUGGAAAUGGUGGUCUAGGGAGACUUGCUUCAUGUUUUCUAGACUCUAUGGCAACACUGAAUUUGCCUGCAUGGGGAUAUGGUCUGAGGUACAGAUAUGGGCUGUUCAAGCAGAGGAUCACCAAGGAGGGCCAAGAAGAAAUUGCUGAGGACUGGCUUGAGAAGUUUAGUCCUUGGGAAGUUGUCAGGCAUGAUGUUGUAUUCCCUGUCAGAUUCUUUGGUCAUGUUCAGGUUAAUCCUGAUGGAUCCCGAAAGUGGGUUGGUGGAGAGAUUGUGCAAGCUCUAGCUUAUGAUGUUCCAAUUCCAGGAUAUAAAACCAAGAAUACUAUUAGUCUUCGCCUCUGGGAAGCAAGAGCUUCUGCUGAGGACUUCAAUCUGUUUCAAUUUAAUGAUGGACAGUAUGAAUCUGCUGCGCAGCUUCAUUCUCGAGCUCAGCAGAUUUGUGCUGUUCUUUAUCCUGGGGAUGCAACAGAAGAAGGAAAGCUUUUGCGGCUGAAGCAACAAUUCUUUCUAUGUAGUGCGUCGCUUCAGGAUAUUAUUAUGAGAUUUAAGGAGAGGAGAACUGGGAAAAGCUCAUGGAAAUGGUCUGAAUUUCCCAGCAAGGUUGCAGUACAACUGAAUGAUACUCAUCCUACCCUUGCAAUUCCCGAGCUGAUGCGAAUUCUAAUGGAUGAUGAAGGAAUUGGGUGGGAUGAAGCCUGGGAUGUGACAACAAGGACCGUUGCUUAUACAAAUCACACAGUCCUUCCUGAAGCAUUAGAGAAGUGGUCACAAACUGUCAUGUGGAAGCUUCUUCCACGCCACAUGGAAAUCAUAGAAGAAAUGGAUAAGAGGUUCAUUGCGCUGAUACGUAGCAGUCGGACUGAUCUUGAGAGUAAGCUUCCCAGCAUGUGCAUCUUGGAUAAUAAUCCCCAAAAGCCAGUUGUUCGGAUGGCGAAUUUGUGUGUGGUUUCUUCACAUACGGUGAAUGGUGUAGCUCAGUUACACAGUGAUAUCUUGAUGUCUGAGUUAUUUGCAGACUAUGUGUCUAUAUGGCCAAAAAAGUUCCAAAAUAAAACAAAUGGAAUUACACCUCGUCGCCGUUGGCUCCGGUUUUGCAGUCCUGAGCUCAGUAACAUAAUUACAAAAUGGUUAAAAACUGAUCGGUGGAUUACCAACCUUGACCUACUUGUAGGUCUCCAAAAGUUUGCGGACAAUGAGGACUUCCAAACUGCAUGGGGCUCUGCCAAGAUGGCUAAUAAGCAACGUUUGGCACAGUACAUACUGCGAGUGACAGGUGUAAGCAUUGAUCCAAAUAGUUUAUUUGACAUACAAGUCAAGCGAAUCCAUGAAUAUAAAAGACAGCUUCUGAAUAUUUUGGGUGCAGUAUAUAGAUACAAGAAAUUGAAGGAGAUGAGUGCUGAAGAGCGGAAGAAUACAACUCCACGCACUGUUAUGAUUGGAGGCAAAGCAUUUGCUACAUAUACAAAUGCUAAAAGAAUAGUGAAGCUGGUAAAUGAUGUUGGCGCUGUUGUCAACAGUGAUCCUGAAGUCAAUAGUUAUUUGAAGGUAGUAUUUGUUCCAAAUUACAAUGUAUCUGUAGCAGAGAUGCUUAUUCCAGGAAGUGAACUAUCACAGCAUAUCAGUACUGCAGGCAUGGAGGCAAGCGGCACAAGCAACAUGAAAUUUGCACUCAAUGGUUGCCUUAUAAUAGGAACUCUGGAUGGGGCUAAUGUGGAAAUUAGGGAGGAAAUAGGAGAGGAAAAUUUCUUUCUCUUUGGUGCAACAGCAGAUGAGGUCCCUAGACUACGCAAGAAAAGAGAGAAUGGAUUGUUCAAACCAGAUCACCGAUUUGAGGAGGCCAAGCAGUUUAUAAGAAGUGGGGCAUUUGGAAGCUACGAUUACAAUCCACUUCUUGAUUCUCUGGAGGGGAACUCUGGUUAUGGCCGUGGUGAUUAUUUUCUUGUUGGGGAUGACUUCCCAAGCUAUUUGGAUGCUCAGAAAAGAGUAGAUGAAGCUUACAAGGAUAGCAAGAGAUGGCUGAAAAUGUCCAUAUUAAGCACCGCUGGCAGUGGCAAAUUCAGUAGCGAUCGCACAAUUGCUCAAUAUGCAAAAGAGAUAUGGAAUAUUGAGGGGUGCCGAGUACCAUAAUUGCUACUAUAUGCCACUCAUCAUUCUAUGUUUAUGAUUGUAAUAAAGCAUGAACAAGCUGGAAAGAAUCAGGGAAAUGUCAAGGGAAAGGAACCAUACUUGUAUCAAAAUAUGCAUAAGUGGA